UUUACUCCUGAAAUUGGGUGAGGUGAUCCGCCGAAUUUAAGCAUAUAAUUAAGCGGAAGAAAAGAAAAUAAAUAUGAUUCCCCU
rnacentral:rRNA from 1 species